ACUUUCUUACUUUAGUACCCUAUGAUUUAAAAUAUAUCAAGUUAGUGUCCUGUGAUUUUAUUUUCUUUUUUAUUAUUUAUUUUACUAAUUUUUUUCGUUAAAUCAAUGACAAAGUUAAAACAAAAGGGUAUUAAAGUGAAUAUCGAUAAACCUAGGUAGGGUAUCUGUAGUUUUUUGUAUAUAGUUUAACAAAAUAUUAACGGAGGAGCUGACGAAAAGAGAAAAAUAAAACCACAAAAUACUAACUUGAUACACUUUAAACCACAGAUUACUAAAGUGGAAAAGUACAAAACCACAGGGUGGUAUUUGAAGUUUACCUACAAUUAAAAGA
rnacentral:lncRNA from 1 species